GUAAGAAAGGCGUUUGUUUAAAUUGAGGGAUUAUUAUAACUUGAAUCUUAAAAAUCGUCAAUAUUUUUUUUUUAAUUUAAAUUGAUUUAGUAUAUAAUUGAGGGAUGAUGAUGUUCUUUUAAUUCUAAAUUUCCUUGUUAAAGGUACUCUUUACUUUUGAUGAAGUCAUCUCCUAUUAUUUGCAUGUGAUAUGUGGAAAAUAAUUAAGCAAAUGAGAUGUUGGGGGGUUACCAAGCUAAGUAAAAUAUAAAAAGAGGGUUAAGUGUCGAUGUCGAGUUUGAUUAUAAAUCAACUAUUGUAGCAUGUUGAUCACUGCUGUAGAAAGAUUCUGAUCCUGAUCAGCCUAAACAAUGGGAACCCAGUUUGUUACUCUGGAGAUUUCCUGCAGUGUUCUAUUUGUAAUUAAUAACAUUAAUCUAAGUGGGAGUAACAAUUCUUGUUCUUGGUGUAUUGGUAGGAGCAACGACAGCAUUUGUUGUAAUUUAUGAGUGGCAUAGAAAUAGAAAUUGUUGGAGUUAGGUGUUUGAUACUGAAUCUGUUGGCGCUUGAAUCUUAUAUCCAGGGUAGGUUUGAAGGGUCUGUGACAAAACCCCACCUAUGAGACCUGAAUUGUGAGAUAUGACUAGAUUAAAUUUUAGCUUUCAUCUAUCCUACCUGAUUGAUUGAUCCGUGAAACCUGUUCUUCCUCGUGUCUUUUGUCAUGGAUUGGAGCUGUACUUUUAUUUUCGAGCAUUGUUGCAUCUGGACAAGAUAGAAAUGGGGAUAAAGCAUGGUAAACUUAGACCUGUUGGGUGAGCAACAAGGUAGAGGUUCCUUUUGAGUAUAUGGUUGACAGUUUCUCAAUUGAUAUUCUCUUGUUGAUUCUUAAAUGGUAGGUUUUGCUGUAUGUAAGACACAGGUAGAAAAAAGCGUGGCAAGGUUUUAUGUCUGAGCAUCCUGAAAUCUAAGAAGAUGCAGCUGCCUUGAGGAUUGUAAUCUAAGACAAAGGGGUCCCUUGUUCUAAAAGAGCAAGAACAUUACUGCAGUAUCAGGCGGAGAAAAGCUACACGAAGCUUCAUUGGCAUCGCCUGGAGGCUGGAACGUAUUUCUAGGGCUUCUCCCUGUACUAAACAUAUACGAUCUGUAAGUACAAGAGGCGGCGCAGUACAAUAUUGAAUCUGCUGUGUUAGUACAAAGGGGAGUGCAGUACAUAAUCAACUCAUAAAUAUCGGAUCACGAUGGGUUCUGCCAUGCCUUGCCGGGUCUAAAACCGACCAUCUCAUUAUAGCUGACAACGACUUGAGAGCGAAUACUGAUCCUGAGAUCACUUCUGAUAAAUGAUCUCGAGCGUUGACUAAAGAGGUCGAGGUGAUCCACGAAGCUUUGAGCCUGUCUACACUUAAGAACAGUAUGUUUGACCCAAAAAUCUAAUGAAAGACAAAUGGUUAGUUGGGCUUGCUUGAACUGAAUGCAUCCCAGUAUACUGUUGUUUGAUAUUUUGUUAUCUUCUAUCUUUUA